rnacentral:rRNA from 1 species
AGUGAACGCUGGCGGUAGGCCUAACACAUGCAAGUCGAACGGCAGCACAGUAAGAGCUUGCUCUUACGGGUGGCGAGUGGCGGACGGGUGAGGAAUACAUCGGAAUCUACUUUUUCGUGGGGGGUAACGUAGGGAAACUUACGCUAAUACCGCAUACGACCUACGGGUGAAAGCAGGGGAUCUUCGGACCUUGCGCGAUUGAAUGAGCCGAUGUCGGAUUAGCUAGUUGGCGGGGUAAAGGCCCACCAAGGCGACGAUCCGUAGCUGGUCUGAGAGGAUGAUCAGCCACACUGGAACUGAGACACGGUCCAGACUCCUACGGGAGGCAGCAGUGGGGAAUAUUGGACAAUGGGCGCAAGCCUGAUCCAGCCAUACCGCGUGGGUGAAGAAGGCCUUCGGGUUGUAAAGCCCUUUUGUUGGGAAAGAAAAGCAGCAGGUUAAUACCCCGCUGCUCUGACGGUACCCAAAGAAUAAGCACCGGCUAACUUCGUG